UAGGUGUUUAUAGAGGUGACAGUGUUUAUAGGUGUUUAUAUAGGUGUAGGUGUUUAUAUAGGUGUAGGUGUUUAUAUAGGUGUAGGUGUUUAUAUAGGUGUAGGUGUUUAUAUAGGUGUAGGUGUUUAUAUAGGUGUAGGUGUUUAUAUAGGUGUAGGUGUUUAUAUAGGUGUAGGUGUUUAUAGAGGUGACAGUGUUUAUAGGUGUUUAUAUAGGUGUAGGUGUUUAUAGAGGUGACAGUGUUUAUAGGUGUUUAUAUAGGUGUAGGUGUUUAUAUAGGUGUAGGUGUUUAUGUAGGUGUAGGUGUUUAUAUAGGUGUAGGUGUUUAUAUAGGUGUAGGUGUUUAUGUAGGUGUAGUAUCUAUUGAAGUCAGUCCGACAGAGUUACAGUAAUCUUUUAGCCAGGUGUGUAAUGCCAGUAGCCUGCUGAAUCCUUCACACCCGCGGUCCAAUGAUGAUACCGGACCUGAAUUGAUUGGCUGCUUUUUGUAAUCUUUCAGUGCUAGAAUCAGUUCUUUAAAAUAAUUUUUCCAGAAGUUCUGAGCUAGCUCUCCUGAUGUCGUUUGACCCCACGUGGACUACGACAGUUCCCGCCAACGGUUAUAGAAUGGCCAGAAGCAGCUUUGUAAUGUCCUGUACUUGUGCUCCAGGAUAGCACAGGCUUCUUACAAUAGAGCUGCUGAUGAAGACAACUUGUGCAAUGGCUGAGUUCUGGCUGUUCUUUUGCCUUGGGUGGUUUCGCAAACCCCUCGAGGACCGAAGGGCAGUGGGGCCCGAUGGACCCAAGCUGGCUGUAGUAUCCAUCCUGGAUGAUGAAUGGGUGGCAUACUGUAAACUGACUCUCUGCCCUGUCAUGUACUAUUCUGUUGCAGCCUGCCUUAUAGGUCAAUAUAUCUGUUUCUCUCUG